GGUACACGAGCGGCGAACGGGUGAGUAACACGUGGGUGAUCUGCCUCGUACUUCGGGAUAAGCCUGGGAAACUGGGUCUAAUACCGGAUAUGACCAGGGACUGCAUGGUUUCUGGUGGAAAGAUUUAUCGGUGCGAGAUGGGCCCGCGGCCUAUCAGCUUGUUGGUGGGGUAAUGGCCUACCAAGGCGACGACGGGUAGCCGACCUGAGAGGGUGACCGGCCACACUGGGACUGAGACACGGCCCAGACUCCUACGGGAGGCAGCAGUGGGGAAUAUUGCACAAUGGGCGAAAGCCUGAUGCAGCGACGCCGCGUGAGGGAUGACGGCCUUCGGGUUGUAAACCUCUUUCGACAGGGACGAAGCGCAAGUGACGGUACCUGUAGAAGAAGCACCGGCCAACUACGUGCCAGCAGCCGCGGUAAUACGUAGGGUGCGAGCGUUGUCCGGAAUUACUGGGCGUACAGAGCUUGUAGGCGGUCUGUCGCGUCUUCUGUGAAAACUCACAGCUCAACUGUGAGCUUGCAGGGGAUACGGGCAGACUAGAGUACUUCAGGGGAGACUGGAAUUCCUGGUGUAGCGGUGAAAUGCGCAGAUAUCAGGAGGAACACCGGUGGCGAAGGCGGGUCUCUGGGAAGUAACUGACGCUGAGAAGCGAAAGCGUGGGUAGCGAACAGGAUUAGAUACCCUGGUAGUCCACGCCGUAAACGGUGGGUACUAGGUGUGGGUUUCCUUCCACGGGAUCCGUGCCGUAGCUAACGCAUUAAGUACCCCGCCUGGGGAGUACGGCCGCAAGGCUAAAACUCAAAGGAAUUGACGGGGGCCCGCACAAGCGGCGGAGCAUGUGGAUUAAUUCGAUGCAACGCGAAGAACCUUACCUGGGUUUGACAUACACCGGAAACCUGCAGAGAUGUAGGCCCCCUUGUGGUCGGUGUACAGGUGGUGCAUGGCUGUUCGUCAGCUCGUGUCGUGAGAUGUUGGGUUAAGUCCCGCAACGAGCGCAACCCUUAUCUUAUGUUGCCAGCGCGUAAUGGCGGGGACUCGUGAGAGACUGCCGGGGUCAACUCGGAGGAAGGUGGGGACGACGUCAAGUCCUCAUGCCCCUCAUGUCCAGGGCUUCACACAUGCUACAAUGGCCGGUACAGAGGGCUGCGAUACCGCGAGGUGGAGCGAAUCCCUUAAAGCCGGUCUCAGUUCGGAUCGGGGUCUGCAACUCGACCCCGUGAAGUUGGAGUCGCUAGUAAUCGCAGAUCAGCAA
rnacentral:rRNA from 1 species